CAUCCCACCGCCGGGCUCUCCAUCCUGUCCAAGGCAACUGCAAGGCAGAAACCUCGAGCGAGCUAACUGAGCCAGUAACGAGUCUCCAUUCAGAACCAGCAGCACUCAGUGAUUCAUGGAGGUCGUGACGGGGGCACUGCCGAGCCUCCUCCCCAAGCUUGCUGAGCUGCUUGCUGGCGAGUACGGUCUGCAAAAGGAGGUGAAGGGGGGGAUUAUCUUCCUCCAGGCUGAGCUCGAGAGCAUGCAAGGUGCCCUCAAGAAGAUCUCCAAGACGCCAGCAGACAAGCUUGAUGACCAGGACAAGAUCUGGGCAAGGAAAGUGAGGGAGAUGUCCUACGACAUAGAGGACACUAUUGACACGUAUAUGGUGCGGUGCAAGGGGGGAAGGAAGCCGGCUGAACAGCAUGGCUUCAAGGAAGCCAUUGACCGGACCCUCAAAUGGUUCAGGCAGCCCAUGAUCCGCCGUAAGAUUGCUACGGAGAUCAGAGAAAUCAAGAGCCAUGUCGAAGAGGUAGCCAUGCGACGUGAUCGGUACAAAGUCAAUGACACUGAUGUUGCUAAGCCUGUGGCCAUCGAUCCUCGGUUAUUAUUUGCUCAGUAUGAGGUUAAAGAGCUCGUUGGCAUCGAUGAGGCGAGAGAGGAGGUAAUCCGGAUUCUAAUGGAAGGCAAUACGGAAGUGUCCAAGCAGCAUGGCAAGAUAGUUUCCAUUGUUGGGUUUGGAGGCCUGGGGAAGACUACUCUUGCUGAUGUGGUGUACAAAAAGAUCAGAGCACGAUUUGAUUGCUCAGGUUUUGUUUCUGUAUCUCAGACACCUGACCUGAAGAAACUAUAUAAGGAGUUGUUAUAUGAUCUUGACAAGACAAUGAAUGUAGAAACAUUGGAUGAGAGGCGGCUCAUAGAAUUACUCAGAGAAUUCCUUCAAGAUAAAAGGUAUUUUGUUGUUGUUGAUGAUAUAUGGGAUAUCUCAGUUUGGAAUAUGAUUAGAUGUGCUUUGCCUGAUAAUGAUGUUGGAUACACUAUUAUUGCAACAACCCGUAUUUCUGAUGUUGCUGAACAAGCCGGUGGUGCUUACAAGCUGAAACCCCUUUCUCCAUACAACUCACGGAAACUAUUUUUUAGAAGAAUAUUUGGUAAUGAAAACAAAGAUAGCGAUGAAGAAACAGUAAAAUGUCCAUAUAAGGAGCUGGAUGAAGUAUCUGAUAGAAUACUAAAAAAAUGUGGUGGUGUGCCCUUAGCAAUUAUUACGAUGGCUAGUUUGCUAGCUUGCAAAGUAAGAAAUAAAAUGGAGUGGUAUGAGGUGUACAACUCUGUUGGUACUGGUAUGGAAAAUAAUAUGGAUGUGGAGAAUAUGAGAAAGAUUUUAUCUUUUAGCUAUUAUGAGCUGCCAAGCCAUCUAAGGACUUGCUUGUUAUAUUUAAGCAUGUUUCCUGAAGAUUUUGAAAUUGACAAGGACCGUUUGAUUAGAAUGUGGAUAGCUGAAGGUUUUAUCCAACGUGACCAGGGGAAGAGUCCAUUUGAAAUAGGAGAGUUUUACUUCAAUGAGCUCAUAAACAGAAGUAUGAUCCAACCGAUACAAGAUCAAUAUGGCAUGCUAUAUCUAUAUGGCAUGCUAAAUAAUUGCCGCAUACAUGAUAUGGUGCUCGAUCUUAUCCGUUCCUUGUCAAGUGAGGAAAACUUUGUUACUGUACUGAGUGAUAUGGAUAGCACAUCUCCGUCAAAUACGAUUCGGAGGUUGUCCCUUCAAAAUGGCAAGAAAAGUCACGUGAUGGCUCAAGGUACUGGAAACUUGUUGCAACAUGCAAGGUCAGUUGUUGUCUUCCCAUCUGCCGUUGCUCAAGUACCUGCUCUUGGCAGCUGCCGAGUUUUACGUGUACUGGAUCUACAGGAUUGCAACCUUUCACAGACUAAUAGCCUUAAGUACCUUGGAAAUUUAUACCAGUUGAGGUACUUAAGUCUAUAUUCUACGCAUAUUUCUCAGCUCCCGGAAGAAAUAGGAAACCUGCAGUUUCUACAAACAUUGGAUGUGAGGAGCAAUCCUAUUUCCAUCUUGCCUUCAAGUGUUGUCGAGCUAAGAAAUUUGAUGUGCCUAGACUUUGAAUCGAUUACAAGAGUGCCAAAUGGAAUUGGAAACCUAACAUGCCUUGAGCAGUUGUCAUGGUUAUGCAUUGAUGGGUCCACCAUAAACAUUAUAGAGGAGUUGGGCCAGCUAACUGAACUGAGGCAGCUGUGUAUUCUAUUGGACAAGUGGAAUGACAAGUUGUUGGAGUGCCUACACAAGUUACAAAAGAUCAUGGAUCUAGUUAUCACAGUCCAUCCUGGUCAACGCAGCAUCGGUGGAUUGGAUGCCUGGGUCGCUCCUCGACAUCUCCGUUUCUUGGAUACAAAACACGGCUGUUGGUUUUCUACACUGCCUACUUGGGUGAAUCCAUCGUUUGUUCCGGUUCUCAGCUGCCUACUGAUUUCCGUGAGGGAGCUACAUCAGGUGGAUCUCGACAUCCUCGGGAGGUUGCCAGCUCUCUGCUUUCUACAGCUGGAGGUGGACAAUAAGAACCUGGGAAUCCUUCAGGGGUUAAUUGUUAGUCCUUGUUCGUUCCCGUGCCUUGAAUUGUGUUACUUCUGGGAAUUUGUAUGGCCAGUGGUGUUUCAAAAAGGAGCUAUGCCAAGGCUCAGAGAGCUUAGGCUGGAGCCGUUGUUUUAUGUGCGGGAGGCAAGAGGAGUUGGCAGCAGCGAUGGUGGUCUCGACUUGGGCCUGGGGAACCUGCCAUCGCUGCAGGACGUCAGAGCUGAGCUCCUAUGUGAAGGUCCUAGCGAGGAGGAGGCCAAGCAAGCCAAGGCUGCGCUGACGCAUGCAGCUAAAAUGCAUCCCAAUCAUCCCAUACAUGGUAUAUAUAUAGAAGUAUAUUGAUUGUGAAGAAUCGGAUGAUGGAUCUUGGACUGACAGUGCUAAAAGAUUGAGAUGAUGAAUAACGAACCGGAUAAAAGAUUUGAGUUAAUGCAAAUGAUAAGUUGCUGGUGGAGCUUCGCCACAUUUGCAGAGAUUAGAUUGCUCACGGCUCACCCGAGUACCAAACAACUCGAACCUUACUGAUGUUGCUCUCUGGAGUUAUUUUGCAUGAGACUUCAGAGCAUCGGUGCCGGAAUGCAUGGUUUUUUUGAGGGGUCAGGAAUGCAUGGUCAAUCGCUCUGUUUCUUUCUAAUACAGGGCACCUGUAUGUAGUGAUGUUAUCUACUCAGUUUCCCAUGGAAAUGCCACGUCUGUGGGUUAGAUUUGGUUGGUUAACAACUAUUACGAUGUCUGGCUUCUGCACACUUGGAACCUGGAGGCCUUCCUAGACGGCUCAAUUUUACUCCCUUUUUUGCAGUA